rnacentral:lncRNA from 1 species
UGCUCUUUGUGACGCUCAAGGUGAUUUUCCCUGAUGAAGAUGCAGCACUCUUGUUGUUCUCCUUGGCUAGCUCUUCCUCAUCCCCUCUUCCUCCAGCAGGCAAGGCCACUGCAUUAUCGUAACCGGUUGAGCCACCCCUUCCCUUUGGGUCCAAGAAAGAUGAGCCACGGUAGGAUGGUACAAGGAAGUCUCCUCCAAAGCUAUCAGGUUUGCCUGAUGCAACCAAUUGCUUGAUGGUGAACAGGAAAGGCACACGCUCACCACCAGGAAGCUGAACUGUGACGGCAGCAUAAUCAAUCCCAUCUUUCUCCUCGAAUUUGAGGGUGCCAUCGGUAGAUACCUCGAAAGGGCCCUCGAUUUCGUCAAGGGUGUAGGUUAAACGGGUCAUGAGCUUGGUGUUUUGGAACUCAGGAGGGGCAUUCUUGUUAACCCCCUCAGCCUUGACAGUGAAGGAAGUGGGCUCCAAGCAGAACUUCUUGGCGUAGUAUUUGCCAGGCUUGAAGGCAAAAGAGUCGACACCACCAUCGAUGGUUGGGCACUGGUUAGCAGUUCCUGUUCCUUUGACUUCCAUGUAUGUCUUGCUUUGGAUUUCAGCGUAGGUUAGCCGCUUUGGAACUCCUUCAGCGCUUGCUCCCUUCAAAACAAACCAGUCAUUGUAACAUAUUUGUUCAGAUCACGGAUCGUAUAUGAUCCUUAUGUAUGCAAUCAACGAUACUUGGCUCAAAUGAAAAAUCCAAAUGACAAAGUUACAACACCAUGCAAGCUCAUUAAGAAUCCUACCUAAGCUACAUAAAAAUAAAUACAGAAAUUUGAAGCAAGUGAGAGGCGAGAAGUACAUACCGAGACAACAAGAGCAGAUGUAGCAAGAGCGAAACCAGCGAGCUUGGUAGCAUCAACACACUUCAGAGCCAAGUCCUUGAGGUCAGUUUGCAAAGAGCAGGUAAGCCUAGCACCAACAGGCUCCAAACCGAAGGCCUUAGAAACGCUCUGGGAGGACCUGAGCGGCACAUUGGUCCUUGAUGGUGCAGCAACCUUGAUUGGUUGCAUCAGGGUAGCUGGAGCUUGAAGUGAGACCGCCAUUGUUACGAACUAUUGGAAAACAAAGAAGAGAGAGUUGUUUUAGUGAGAGCGUAGGGGAAAUUUAGGGGCCAAUUAUGUUGGUGGCAAUGGUGAGAGUAAAGAUAAGGGGAUAGGAUAUGGGAAGUUCCCAUUGGUGGAUGAAGGUAAUGUAUUUGGUUUCAGGGUAUGACACGUGGAGAUUUUGUGAAAUGGGAUAAAAAUAGGUGUUAGUCAUAGUGGAUGAUGUGGAGGGACUACAGAUUUUCUUAAAGUUAGUUCUGCCAUACAAAUUCUGGUGGUUGGCCUUCCUCCACUUGGGCAAUCGUGCUCAGAGAGUACUUUGACUUGGAAAUCAUUUGGUUAAAAUAUGCUGUUAGUCCCUAUAUUUUGAUACAAUCUGAGAUUUAGUCUUUGUACUUAAAAAAUUUUAAAAAUUAAAUCCUACUUUUUUUUUCUUAAAAUCUCAGUGCAAUCAUUAAAAUCACAAGUACUUUCUGUCAAAAUUUUUUAAUUUUUCAUAAGUAUUUUUUGUCAAAUUUUGUUAACUUGAAAUUUUGAUUAGGUUUUUCUCAUAUGAUUGAUAGAAAAUAAAUAUAUUAAGUUGAAAAAUUUUGUUAGAAACUACCAACAAAGAUAAUAAUUGAACUAGGAUUUUUAAAUUGAAAAAUUAGAAUGAUUGAUUUUUUUUUUUUACAUUGUAAGUAUAGGGACAAAAUUUCAAAUCCUACACAAGUACAGGGACCAAAUAAUUUUCAUCAGCUUCUGUUGUGUUUGGGUUCCGUUUGGAUGUAAAAAGUGUCCAAAGUAGCAAGCCCAACCCAAACUAGAAGAGAAGUAAAAUCAUAAAAUAAUGAUGAUGGCCCAUGCAGGUCUCGAACCUGCGACCUUCGCGUUAUUAGCACGACGCUCUAACCAGCUGAGCUAAUAGGCCUUGAUGGCAAAUACGAUUUUAUUAUAUAAAUGAAGAGGCUACAAGAUUUCGUAUAAUAGUUCAAUAAUUCAUACACGUGGAAAGACAGAUUCGUCAUUGACGAUUAUCAACGAGAAUUGACAGUGUUUGUGGGAAAACCAGUCUAAAAUAACCAACCCCUUUCUUUAUUCCUCUGCUUAAUUUAUUCAUAUAUUAGCCCUAUCAUUACUCUUAAGGCAGCACCCUCUGACAUCUGGCAUGCAUCCACAGCAUUUAUGAAGAUUGCUGGUUACCUGCAAAACAAAACUUUAAAGUUGUUUCAUAUUCAUAUUCAACCAAAAACAUCAAGCUUGGCUUUUUUGUCCCUAGCUCGCUUAUCAUGAUCUUCAUCUUUCCUUUCGCUUUUUUGAAACAACAGGUUUAAAUGUCAACAAAUAAAAAUACCCAUUUUCCUAGUAUGUUGUUGUUGGGUAUUGAAGUAAAGAUUAGACGACCUCAAAGAGCAACUAAAACUAUGACAAGUAACCUCAUAUACCAAAAAGUCAAAGAAAAACUAUAACCUGAAACUGGGGUUGCAGGUUGCUGAUUAUUGUUGUUGUUUGUCGCAUUAGUUGUGGAUGGUAUGACAACGCCAGGCCAUGAUCGGCACAUGCAGUGUUUUCCCACAUCUAUGCUGGCAUAGAGUGUGGAUAGAUGUUUCCCACAACCACCCCAAGUGUACUUUCCACAUUGCCUGCAAUCCACCCUGUAACACAUUCUUUAGGAAUUUCUUUGCUGGCAAGAUUUUUAAAUCUUGUACUGAUAUUUGAUAUUGCUUCACAUCUCUUUAUCCUUCUCCUUUUUCGGUCUUUAAAAUGAAACGUUUGCUUUGAUGUAAUCGAACACAUUGUUGCAUAAUUAGCUAAAUAGUAAAAUAGAAACUUUGCCUGCUUAUCUUCUUGUUUGUAUCGCUUUGGCUAGUUAUAUUCCUGUCGUCCAAUUCACUUACAACUAUCCUUUCCGCCCAUGUUUUCAUAAUAAUAACAAUAAUUGUCGAUAGAUAUGUUAAUGCAUUAAAAAAGCUUGGCACUGUUUAAAAUUCACCAAUAGCAACAAAAAAGGAUAAAUGCAUGUCGCAAUACAAAAAUUCCAAUCAGGCUUUUAAAUGUAGGGAAAUGAUUAUAUCUAACCAUUGAUGUACCGCAAUUACAUAUUAGAUACAUUACUAUAUGAGAGCUUUGCACGAAAAUGGUAAGAGUUUUUCAGAAGCAUAUUACAGCAGAAUAUAUCAAUUAUGAAUACAGGCAACCAAAACUGUAGUUUGCUACUACAGAUGGUAAGAUUCAACGGCAGACCCCGAUAACUACUAGUUAGGCAUUAUCAAAAUCUAGGACCCAAAAUCCGGAGGCACUGAUGCCACCUCCCUCAGAUUAUGGGUGGAUUGCAGGUUUCUUUAUUGAGCUCAAUUCUACGGCACCUGCACUCAUCAAAACACACUUCACUCCUCUUCCUACGAUGCCAAGAUGUGUGACAGCCGCGGCCCCAUUUGUGUGAGCAGUGGAAACUGUUGGAGAGUCAAAAUGAUCUACAUUGCUGUUAGCAGGAGACAUAUGUGAAGAGUUCACUGCAGCAGGAGAUGCAUUAUUCUCACCGCCCCUUGCCUUGCCAGAUGCCAUUCCCUGGAUUUCUGCAAUAAUCAACGUUGGGUCGGAGAUCAGCUGCUCUAGAUCUUCAAGCUACAAAUAUGGAAAUAGACAGAAUAAUAAAGUAUGUUUUACAUCAUUAUUAUUUAGUUCAAAUAGAUCAUCAAAAUUGCACUUGCCUUCUUUUCCAGGUCUUCAGCAAGUCCAACAAGAUUGUCAAUUUCUGCUUCUUUAUCUGUCAAUUUCUGCUUCUUUAUCUUUGACAGAUAGAACAGUCUGAGAGCCCUUAGACAGUUGUUCACCGUCACCAAAUUCAGAGGCAGCUGAAGAUGAUGCUAAUCCAGUGGAAAUCAUUAUCUCAUUCGUGAGCCGUUGCACCCGAGACUUGCAAACUGAGAUGGCCUUCUGACCGUAUGGAAUUGCUUCUUUGGGGUUUGAGCCAAUCUCCAAACACGUACAAAUCCGAAAAUUCCUAAAUUAUAGAGUUAAGCAGAAAAUAUAAAAACUGAAUGACAUUGAAGGUUUGACUUAGGGAGAUCCACAUUUCUUCAACUGACCAAGAUACCGCAUUAUUAUUGAACCGGGGACAACCAAAGAAACAAAGAUAUUUCAACCUUAACAAGGAUACAGUUCAGCUAUUUGCCGGUGAUCUGGUUCAACCAGCUGUUGCAAAAUGGAUAGAGCUUUCUGGUAACUGCCAAGUUAAGAUUCAAUGUCCUCUAAAGAAGCAUAACAGAAAAAAAACAUGGAUGCUUCAAUAAAAACUGGUAAAGAGGGUUCCUCCUCCCCAUCCCAACAAAGCAUACACAAGCUACAACGAGCAGUCAAGUACUGACCUCUUUCCAAGUCAACUUCAGCCAAUGCAGAUAAAAUACUCCACUUUCUCCAUGGUGUCACCCAACUGCUGUUUUUCAGCAAUUGCCCUCGCAAUAUCUAGCAUUUUCAAUGCCAAAUCCAAAUCCAAUUCCGAUUCAUCCACGUCCUCAUUUGCUUCAGCUUCAAUCACAUCAGUGUCGCUAUCGUCACUAUCCUCGUCUUUUUCACCUGAAACACAGAACUAAAUCCAACUGGAUGUGUAAAAGAACAGUUAACAAUUUAGUUUAUGAACUAUAACAUUGAUCGUGGAGCAGCUGUUAUGCACAAUUCACAACAAUGUGAACGAAAAUGAAAGAGAUUCAACUACAACGCUCAAUUCAACUAGAGGUAAAUAAUCCCCUCAGAAGACAUACUGCCAUCCUGUUCCGAAUUGCUUGAUACAGAAGCAACUGAAGAUUCCCGAGUUACAACACCUUUGGUCGGCCCCUCUUUGUUUGAGUCUUGCAGAAUCUCACCAUCCUUUUCCGGAACAGAAACCAGAGGACCAGUCUCCUCUUGAGCCUUGCACAGCAGUGCACGUCCAUACAGAUAGUACACGUUGAGACAUGCGACUGCAAGUUCACCGUGAUGCAAAGCCCUAAUAUGAAAAAACCUUAAAUAGUUAAAUAUAACUUCAGCUACAAAUGGCAAUUCACUAAACCUCUGUUUGAUUGUUUUUUGCACCUAAUUGCACUUUGAAACUAUCUUAAUUACUUCACAGAACAUAAAUUAUAAUAAUGCAAGUUAAUGAAAAAAGUUAAAAUUUUUAUUUUUCUUAAAAAGAAAGGGAAAAAAAAUUAAAAUUUUUAUUUUUCUUAAAAAGAAAGGGAAAAAAAAGGGGGGGGUAAAACCAAACCCUGAAUCAUAGAUUUAGUUUAUUUCCUCAUAAAUUAAAUAAAAAAUGGAAAAGAGAUCAGAUGAAACAGAAGCACAAGGUUUAAACCUGAUUUCAAGGGCACGGCGAAAGAAAUGGGCAGCUUGGGUGAAAUCGUUUUCUUUAAAAGCCUUGGAUCCUUUCUCCGUCAACUCAUCUGCGAACUCCAGCGCCUUCGCUCGGCCAAUAUCCGGAGCAAUCCCACAGCUUUCAGUGUUGUUCUCAUUAUUGCAUGUAGACUCGGUACCUCCACGAACCGCAGAUUCGAUAGUGGCUUCUAUUGAACCUUGCGCUUCUAGGGUUUCCACCUUUUUCGGUUCUGGUGUUUGCUCUGUCGUCGUCACCGGCACCGCCGUAACUUCUUCUUCAGCCAUCACUUUUUUUCUUUAAUAUUUACCGAAAAAUACAAAAGUAUGGAUAAUCGAAAACAGGUCUUAGGCUUUCUCUUGCCCGCCUUCCAGAAAUCCUUUCUGGCGGAAAAUCGAGGUUUGAAAGGAAAGACCGAAACCUUGAACGACAAGCUUUAAAGGAGAGAAAUGAAGGGUACUUUCGUAAUUGAAAGGAAAAAGGUUUCUUUUUUGUCAAAUUAUUAUCAGUGUCAGACGAUUCUGUCAUUUUGAUUUGGAAAGGUUAGGCUCUGAGGAAAUGAAAGCAAAAAAUGGUUUCCACAACGACUCCACUCUCUCUCAGUCCGCUGUAUGUUUUUAUAUAUAAUAUAAUGCCUGCUGGAAUUAUAGAAUCUUGUUGAUGGUAUAUAUUUAAAAAUGAUAAAAGAGAGCUGAUGAGAUUUAACAAUCUUCCAAACAAAACGAUUAUAGUAUUGUAAUCACUUUACUAAUCGAAUUUAAACACUUUCCGGGUUUCAACAUUGAUUAACAUUUUGUGAAAAGAAAAGAAAAUUUUUAUAGGAUGAAUAGUAUUCACAAAGCAGUUGUUGUUCAGGUCUCAUCAUUCUCGCCGAGAUGAAUUACCCAACAAGCUGUUUGUUGAAGGUGAGCUCUGUCCACUUGACCAAUGAUCUUGUACUGAUAUAGGAGACCUAUUUUUUACGUCUUCUAAUAAGGUGGUUAAACAUUCUCCUUCCCUUUGCUUCAACUUCAUCAGCCUCCGGCUUCCCACAUCGGACAUCUCCGUUGACUUGUUGAAUGAUUUCUCACUUUCUUCGUCUGAGGAAGCUGCAGGAGACUCGAUGCACAUGCCUGGAACCCAAGCGCUGAGUCUGAUGUGUUCUAGCUCUUCUGCGACUUCGAUCAUGGUUGGCCUCAUGUCCCGAUGAGAAGCGAGGCAUCUAAAUGCUAGCUCGGCCACAUUAUGAAUUGAUGAAAGUGUCCAAGCAUCUCUAUGUGGAUCAAGGUAUGGAUCAAUUAUCUCAUCCACGCAGCCUCUUCCUAUCCUAUCGAUAGCAAGUGCAGCUAAGUUUACUUCAUUAUGAGCGCGUGAAAAGUCGACCACUUUCAGCGCAGUUAUUAUCUCCACAAGAACCACCCCGAAACUGUAUACAUCACUUUUAUCUGAAAGAUGGAAGUAUUGAUGGUAUUGAGGAUCAAGAUACCCUGGUGUUCCUUGAGGGGCAGUUGAGAUGUGGGAUGAUUCAGCCAUCCCAAGCCUGGAAAGACCAAAAUCAGCUACCUUUGAUCUAUAGUUGUAAUCCAAGAGGAUAUUGCUAGACUUAAUAUCUCGGUGAAAAAUAGGCGGAUUCACGGAGUGAAGAUAGGCAAUUGCCUUAGCAGUUUCAGCAGCUAUUGUGAGCCUUACUGUCCAUGGAAGUCCUGAACCCCUCUCUCUUUGUAGAUGCUGUGAUAAAGUUCCAUUCGGCAUAAACUCAUAGACCAGCAUAGGUUCACCCUCCUCCAUGCAGCAACCUAAGAGGCGGACGAGAUUUGGGUGACUGACCGAGGAAAGGAGCUUAAUCUCAUUCAUUACUUGGUCAAUACUAUCAGGAUCUCUAUAUCUGAACCUUUUUAUGGCAACCAAGUUAUCGCUGUGGAGUUUCCCUGCAUAAACUGUCCCAUAGGCUCCGGUUCCCAGUCUCUGUUUAUCACAGAAGCCAUUAGUAGCUCUUUCAAUUUCUCUAUAGGCAUAGCAAGGAACACUUGAAUUGCCUGCGGCUUCAGAUAGAAGGCGCUUUGCACUCAUCUGUUUGUUGAUGUUAUUAGAACGCCGUCGCAAAUAGAAACAUACAAGAGCCACAAUACCCAUUAGCAAUGCCCCACCAACAAGCCCUAAGAAAUUAAACAAUGUGGUCCAUUAGUCACUUAAAGAAGAGAACACAAAAUCUAUAAGAGGGAUGGAUGAUGAACACAUUAAUACAAUUAUUUUGAAUUACAGCCAAAUUACCUCCAACCAGAACACCGACUCUUGUAGUUCCCCCGCAUUUGCCAGAAAUGUAUUUUGAAGCAUUGCAGCUGGGCACUGAUUAAUGUAGCAUUCAGAAACAUAUUGUCAAAAACUAUAGGCAUGAAACCGAUAAAAUAUGCAAAUGUUGACUUUCCGAUAGACAAGCACCGAUCAGAAUCAAGAAGACAUUUGUGUAUUUGUUGCUAAAAUAUUUUCAUAAAUGUAGUGCAUAGUUGAUAGGAAGAUCCUUCUAACAAGUUGUUUACCAAAGAAGUUAAAUUUCGGCCAUAUUUCCUAAAUUACAAAUCCGUAUACUUUAGGAGGUGUGAAUUACCAUAUCCAAAUCUACUUUUAUGCAUGCCCUUAACUUCCACGAGGGAGCCAAGUCAAAUAUCAGACAAAGAUGUAAAGCAAAACAGUACAUUGUGUCCAAGAAUGGAAAACUCCAUUAGUUUUGCCAAGUCAACAACGCUGUUUUUUGUUGACGUUGACCUCAUUGUUGCCUUUCUUGAAGAGGCUUAGAAUUAUGGAUAAUGAUGAAGGUGAGCGAUCAGUUGACCCUCACAGCCAAUUUUAGCCACCAUUGAGGUUGAAAAUUCAUGACGCGCAUUACCGGUAAAAAAAAGUUUCAUCUUUUGGUGCAAUUCAACCACUAAAUAAGAUGCAACUUUACAUGCAGAAACUCUUGAUGUUGGUUCGUAGUAAUGCCAAAAAUUGAUGAACCAUAGUGCAAAAGCAUCAAAUUGUAUAUGAUUUCACCAAGAGAUCAACUCCUACAAUUCUACGCCAUUUUCUUUUCAAAUGUAGUUAAACUGUUAAAGCUACCAUUUCUAGAGAUACAUUACUAGUCAAGAAUCCCACAAUAAUUUUGCUCUAAAAUCCAAGUCAAAAAAAAAAAAAAAAAAACAACCCGACAAAAUAAAAUAAUUAGUAAAACAAAAUCUUUGACUUGGAAGAGUUGACUAACCUCUCCGGCAACCACCGCCUUCUUUGAAUCCAUCUCCUUCAAACCCUUCCUUGCAAAAACACUUACACCCCACCGUCUUGUUACCAUUCUUGACGUCCGUACGGUUAGCGUUUGGGUCGCAAUUACAGUCUUUAACCCACCAUUCCAAUUUAACUCGUUCCAAAUCCACAGAGACCGCUGAGUUCCUCGCCGGGUCAACUACAAUAGCGGUAGAGGAAAACAAGAAACGGCACUGCGUUUUAUUAACUUCCUCGAAACUCAACAGCCGGACGCCGUCACCGGCGCUAGAGAAACAGCUUAUGUUGUCACUCCUAGCAGCACAAGGGCCAGCUUGAAACGACCUUUCUAGAAACAUUGGCCUUAUUUCACAAGGACCUGGUAAGGGGUUGGAACAGUUUUGGAGAAGGAGAGUGUUGUCCACCGAAAGCGCGUAGUUCUCACCGAAGAGAACGGCGAGUGAAGCAAGCGGUCGGUAGCAUUUGGCGUGAAGGUCGAUGAUGAUGUCCUUGGAAGUUAUGUUGAGGACAAGGAAUUCUCCAAUUCCGACCCCGGUCGAGUUGCAGUUGAGUUGGAUGGGGCAACCCGGUGUGAAUCCGAAUGGAAAGGGUAAGGGGCUUGAGAAAUUGCUGGUUUCGCAGGAGCCUUGGCACUUGUUGUUCUCCGAGUUAACUGAGUUUGCUCGGUAGAUAACAAAAAGAAAUGUUAUGGUUAUUGAGAAGGGUAAUUUUGCAUAGCACGGCAUAUUUUUCGAUUCUCAAAGAAGAAAACAGAGCGACAUCAGCUUCCUACAAAAAAAAAACAGAGCUUGAAUAAGAGGAACAGAGUAAAAGGUAAAACAUGUAGUUAUUGAAAAAAAAAAAAGAGGAGUUAUUGGGGGGGGGGAGAGGGAGUUAAAGCAGAUCGAUUGAUGGCGUUGGGAAGUCCAUCUAAACUCAAUAAAUGCUAAUACAAAGAAAGGUCAAUGCAUUGUAAAUUCGGGAAAUUUCUUUCAAAAAGGAAAUUUUUAAUGAAUUGGCUUGGUUUAGUUGAGAAUAUUUAUGAGCUUACCUUGUUCUUGUUUCUUCUUCAAUGGCUGCAACAAUUGCCUCUUCUUUAUUUCAAUAACAGAGCUUCAAAUAAAUAAAUAUCUGAGCUUUGUUAACGCUUCUUUAGAAGUACUUUGAUUUUGGGUUUUUGGUUUUCAUUUCAAAUCAAACAAAAAAAAAGAAGAGAAUUUUGGAGAAGAAGAGGAAAUGGGAAAUGAGAGUUGAAAGUUUUUAAAUAUAACACAAGAAGAGUUGUUAAAAACUCCAUUGACAAGUGUUUAGUGAAUUAAUUAUUAUGAAAUAACUGUUUUACCCUUUUAAGUUUGGGAAGAUGAGGGAAAUGAUUAGACGGAAAUGUCCUUCAAAAAGUAGGUUAAAUUACGGAGAUAGACCAAACCAGAUAUUAUAUUGUGGGUCAGCACCGCACACAAUAAAAAAAUGGGUUUCGAGUUUUGACUAAAAACAUAAAUAUAUAUUUUUUAACAAAUGUGUGAAGGAAUCCACAUCAUUACUCAGCAUAAAAACAAUAAUAUUUUAGCAAAUUUUAAAUUUUAUUUCUUAUUUAAUUAAUUUUUAAUUUUAAUUCAUCGAAUAUGUUUUAUUUAUGAUUUAUAUUAUAAACAUUGAAGUAGAAUCUUGAAUUUUAAUCCUAUAAAUAAAAAAAUAACUCUUAAAACAAUUUUUUUCAAUUAAAAUCCAAUGAAAUUAGUCAACGAGUGCUUAAUAUCAUUGACAAAUGGUGAGACUCUAGGUUUUAAGUAUCUAGAUUCGAAUUUUAUUAUGCACAAUUAUCAUGUGUAAGUAUCUCAAUCUUAACCUGUGUGGCUUUUAUAAGUGAAUUUUGUUCAAUUAUAUUUUGAUUCUUUAUGCGUUUGUAAUUGUAUUGGUUUGAUUACACACUUCAACUUAGGUUAGUUUUUUUCUCUCUUUUUUUUAAAUCCUUUUUUAAGUAUUUGGGUGGGUUGCCUUUUUUUUAUGGUUUGAAACUAUUAAUUCGAGCUAAAGAACAAUUCAACCAAUUCACAAUUUGCUCGUCAACCCUAAUUCUGAGUUGUUCACUCUAAAAUCGAUCUAACCCUUUUAACUAAAUUAAUAUAUUAGUCAGUUCUUGAUCUAAUUUAGUUUUGGCAAUGUUACUUUAAGUGCCAACAAAAGGUUUAAUCACUGUUCCUUUAUACAGUUGACUCUCCUUCCUUUACUGUAAUAAAGAUAUACUAGAUUAUCACGCACCUACAUUAUAGGUGAAAAAUUAUGUAAUAAAUAUAUUUACUAAAAGUACAUAUAAAAAUAAAAUGAAUCUUAAAUGGAAAAAUUAAAUAUUUAAAAUUCGUUGCUUCAGAAGUUCAAAUUUUACUACGAUUAAAUAUUUAUUGAUUUUAUAUAAAAAUAUAAAAUGAAAAAAAAAACAUCUUAUAAAAAUUAAGAUUAAUUUAACAAUCUUGUAACAAAAAAUUAUUAUAAUAAUUUCUCAAUUGAACUGCUAUUCAAUAGACUCAUGACAUUAACUCAUUUAAUAUAAGUAUAGAUAUAAAAUAUUGUUAUAAUAAUUAUAUGGCUUUUUUUUUUCAAUUUAGUGAUAUUAUUUAAUUUGUUAUAAAAAUAAGUUAUACUGUUUAAUAUAUUAAAAGUGGAUUAGACUUUGAUUUAGCGGUAAAAAUUAAGAGAUUUUAAUUUCAUUUCAUUUGGUAUUUAUAUUGAAGUUGUCUAAUUAUAUUUUAUUAUUUUAUAGGGUUUCAUUAAUUUAAUAGUGCUAGGUGAAUGUGAUAACUGAUUAUAAUUAUAAUUUUAAAAUAUCAAUAAUAAAUUAAAUCAAAUUAAUUUGAAAGGUUAAAAUUUUUAUUACAGAAAAACUAAUCCAAAUUGAGGACUUGUCUUUUUCUUUUUUCUAUUAGGAGGAUUUGUUUAAUUUAGAAGAACUCAGAGUGGCAUCCUAUUAGAGGACUUUUCUUUUUAUAUUUAUUUAUAUAUACUAGGAUAAGUAAAACCCAUAUUGAAAUUCUGGUUGCAUAUUCUAAUUUAAUAUAAAAACCAUGUGGAAAUUUUGUGUUAAUUUCUACCCCCUUAUAUUUCUGAAUUUAUAGAAACAAGAACUAAAGUUUACCAUCACAAGAUUAUUACCUUAGCUGUGAUUUUUUUUUUUUUGUUAAAUUACUUUCUUAUUGUAAAAUAUAGGAAAGAAAUAGUAUAUAAUUUUAUGUUUCUACUCAUCCAUUUUUUUUAAAGUAAUAUUUAAGUAAAUUCUUGUCAACAAUGAUAAUUUUAAUAUUUAAAUUUAAUUAAAAUAUCCGGAAAAAAAAAUUCACUUUCACUUUUUCUAAUUAUUUGUUGGUAAAUAGAUACAUGUUUAAUAACAAAUAUAAACUUUUAAGAAGCUUUUAUAUUUCAUCUACUUUAAAUCUUAUGAAUGAAAAUGAUAAUAGUUUCAUUUAAAUUAAUUUCGAAUUUAAUUAAGAUUAUGAAAAUAGAGGAAAAGGAGAAAUGAUAAAGAAAGAGGCGCCACACCCUCUCCUCAAUUUCUUUGAAAGCAAUGCUAUUGGUAAGAAAAGCAGCAACUUUUGACCAGUGAAGGUUGUAUUAUUUUCAUAUUUCAGGGCCUUGAUUUGUGCAGCAUAUACGAAAAAGUUUCAUCAAGGGUGUCAUGCAUGGCGUAUAAUUAAUUAAUUUUUUAAUGCUUUUCAGAUAAAAUUGAACGACUUUCCCGUUAGGUUAUCUACUUUCUGUAAAAUUUCACCAUAUUCCUGGCAAAUUACAAUAGAACUUUGAGAAAAGUAGUGCCAUUUUACUUCCACACAUUAACUUUUAGGUACAAAAAGCUGAAAUGGUGCAAAGAAAAUUACAGUUAAACAAUGGCAUCACAUGCAAGUAUAGAAGAUUAUUAAGAAAGCAGCAUGUGUUUAUUUGUAGAUUUCCACCACUUCCACUCUAUCUUAUUCUACUUAAAAAUCAUCACUCGAGCAAAGUUCCAUACCACUUCACUCAACCCAUUGAGAAUUAUCGAUGAGAAAAUAUUUGAAUGAGCUCUUUAAAAUAUAUCACUAAAAAUAAAUAAAUGGUUUCCAAAUUUUUUGUACUCACGAGAGCUGAUCAUCUUUUGGAGGAUUACGACUAUGUUAUAGAUUUGUGAAAUGUUUUUUUUAUUCCCAAAUUUGAAAAGGCAGGCAAAAAGAAGCACUUCAGUUUGAGUUCUAAUAUAUAUAUAGUGUUUGGUUGAGGGUACAUAGAUUUGGAAAUGAAAGUCAAAGGGGGAUGGCACAUGGCCAGUUGUAAACAAAAUGCUUUGCAAUUAUAGACCAAGGCUUUUGCUUUUCCCAUAUCAAGGCUUCUACUUAUUAUAAACCCUUUUCUCAACUCCAAUUUAAUUCACCCAUGUAUCCUUCAAUGUUUAAUAUAUAAUAUUUAGGGUAAAUUAUAUUAGUAGUCAUUUAGUUAUUUAAUUAUGAAAAAUUAUAAAAUUUUCACUCAAUUGUUCAAUUUUUAUUUUUUUUGGUCAUCCAACUAGCUUAUAUUUUUUGAUGUUUCUAUUUUUACGUUAACUCGCCAAUGACAAAAAAGGACCAAAUUGAAUAUUAAAUGACCAUCUUAUAAUUUUUUAUAGUUGUUGAUAAAAAAAAUUAAUAAUUGAGUGACUAUUAAUAUAAUUUACCCUUAUAUUUAUUAGGAUAAAAAUCACUCACCCCUCAAGUUUACUAUAAAAUAUAUAGUUUCACUUAUAGUUUGAAGAAUACUCUAAGAAAAUUUAAAAUAAAAAGACAAUUAACUCUAUUUAAUUUAUUCGUUUACAUAUUCUUUUAAUUACAAAAUAAUGAAAAUUUAAUUCUAUUUUUAAACUACCAUAAAAUUAAAUAUAUUUCACUUAUUUAUUAAAAAAAUCUAUUUCACUUCAAUUAAAAUAAUGUAUUUUAAAUUUAUAUUUAAUUUAGUUCAUGUUAAUCUUUAGAUGAAUUUAUUAAAUUAUUUUUAUAAAAAUUAAUUAAUUAUCAUUAUUUAAAAAGUUUGAAUAAAAAAUUUACUAAAUAAUAAACGAAAAAAUAAAGAAAAAUGAUUAACCACAAAGAAACAAUUUUGAGGAUAGAACAAAUAAAUAGAAGGCUUAGUUGAAAAGAGAUUCUUAAUCCGUGCUUUUAUUAGAGUUAGGUUUUUUUUUUUUUUUCGAAUCAGAUACCUAAGCUUUAUUUCUGUAACAAAUGUUGAUCCUUACCGCUGUCAAAAAGAAAAUCUCAAUAAAAUCUAAUUAAAUAAAAAAAAAUUAAAAAAAAAAAUCCUCCCCACCAAAGCUCGGUAGGGAAUCGCAUUCCAGUUCACAGCCAAAGCAACCCAUCAAUAUCUGUUAGCAUUCAUGAGUGAAACAAUGUGGGGAUCCUGAAAUCCCGUUGUAACAUUACACCCUUAAGCUGCACCACAAAAACAAUCUGAAUCAACUUCAAAUGCAGCACUAUUCCCACCACCUCCUUACCUUACCACACCAAGGAUUACAGCUCUUCUUUUCAAACGUAUUUGUGAUUUGUGAAUAUCAUUGAAAGCUCCUCAUUCAGUAUGAGAUGGCCUCUUUGGAAUCAAAUUCAGCCAUAGCAUCAAGUUAGAUUAAGUUUCAAUUUGCAUAGUUUUAUAUCGCCAUUUAAUGGAGCAUUAAAAUACUCAAAUGUCUCUACUGUGCAUUGGCUCAAACUUAGGGGAGAGAUAGUGGUGAGAGAGAGGGAGAAAAAUGAUGUGACACCUCACACCCGACUCAAUCACUGAGGUCAAAUAUAAGAUACCAUAUUCGUAGUUAAAAUAACUCAAACUAACUCGUACAUUGAAUUCAUCGUGAUAAUCAAACAUUAAUCCCUAAAUAACCCAACUGAACACAUCAAUUUAACUUACUUAGCAUGCAACCUACACCUGUUUCAUUGAGUAAACACCAUGUAAUGAUCAUGCAUACCAACAUAACGUCAUAUUCAUACCACUUCACAUAUAGCUUACAAUUCACUAGCAUUCUAAAUUUAAAUCAUAGAAAGGGGUUCUAAAGCUAGCUUUGACACUAAGUACAUUAUAUUCUAAAGAUUAUACAAACGUUGCUUAGUUGAGAAGUGAGCCAUGGAUACUGUCGAACUUUUUGUAUCCAUGAGACCUAAUCGUCACUGAAUUAUUUGUUUGUCUUCUGUUUUUAUCCUUACGUUGUUCCUCAUUUUCAACCUUGCUCAAUGACACGGAAGUGUAGAAAUGAUAUUAAUUUUUAACCAUUAAAUAUAUAAUUCAAACAUUUCACUUUAGUUUCCUUAAAUCUUAUUAUUUGAAAUUCUCUUAUUUUACUAUUUACCCAAUCAAAUCUAAAUCCGAUUUAUAACUAUUCUCCAAGGACCUCAAACUAUCAUUAUUUACUAAUAAAUCUCAUAGUCCUCAUUUUUUACAAAUAAAUCCUUAGUGAUUUAACAAACAUCACCUUCAUUUCUAAGAUGUAUAACAUAAAAUUUAAAUUCAACAACUCAGAUUUCAGGGCUUUCUAACUUAAUAUUCUACAUUAAAACUUCAUCAAUUUAUUAAUCUAACAAGUGAGUUUUCAUAUCUAUCAUUGCUUAUAAGAAUCACAAAGAAAACCUUACCAAUAUUUCUUACGGCAAUGAAGGAAAACCAAAGCCAAAACUCCUUUCUUCUUUCUUGGUUCGGUGGGAGAGGAGAUGAGAAUGAAUAAGGUUUGCGUCUCUUGCUCAUUUACUAUACCUUAUUUCCAUUUAAUAACAUUAAUCAAUGGCUCAAAUUUCUCAUGAAAGAUCUAGUGGAUGUUUAUGGCAUUGAUCAAUGCUUACUACUAACUUUUAAGUCAAUUAUGGGUCAAUUAAGUUUAAGUCCAUGUUUAAUUGUUUAGUAUAGUAAGGACCUGCUCAAAUCUUAAAUCAAAUCUCCUUAUUUAGUCACCUUAUAAUUUAAUCUUUGUACUAUUUAUGUAAUAAUUUAAUCAAUUUAAUGGUUCAACUGUUCUACCCUCUAACUUCGUGCUUGUCUCUAUAAUUUUUUGUUUUAAAAUUUUUGGAUGGCUCAGAAAUUGACUUUUUUGGCACCAAUAGAAGCCAAAUUGUUACAAGCGAGGAGGAGAGGGAGGUGUUUUUUAUUUUAUUUUAUUUUAUAUUAAUAUAAUUAUUUUUAUUUAACAUUAAUAUAAAAAUUUUAUUUAAUUAUUUAAUGAGGUGAUGGCGUGGCCCUUCUUAAUUAGCUUUGACUAUUCUUUUAACGGAAUAUAGCGAUAAAGAUCAACUUCAAUUACGAAAAAAAAUUUAAAAUCAAACUCAAACUCAAACAAAUGACAUAAUUUUGAAUUAAGCCUAAAUUGAAUAAUAAUUAAGUGAUAAAGGGUAAAUUUAUCCUUUUAUUUAAAAAUCAUUUAAUAAUUAAAACUUGAAGAUAGUAUUUUUUUUUAUUUUUUUUUGUCAAGCUUCAACAGGUAAGUGGGUAUCUUUCAAACCAUAAAGAUAAUCGGUUCUUUUUUUGUUAAGGGGGUAGGCGAAUUUUAUAUCGGUUUAAAUAUUUUACCUUCUAAAAAAUUUAAUUAUAAAAUAUAAAAAAUUCCAUAAUUAAAAGAUAAACAGUUAUAAAACAAUAAUAUAUGAUAAAUAAUAUAAUAAGAAGGUUAAAAUAUGCUCCAAUUUCUUGUAUUUUUUUAUACACCUGGAGUUUAAUUCCUCUAAUUUAUUUUAAAAAAAAUUAUAAAUUUGAAAAUACAAGUUCAAUUGUUAACACAUUAAAAUUCUUUUGUUUAAUUCAAGUUCAGUAGAAAAUUAUAUUUUUUGUUACAUAAUUACCAAAUGAGUCAUUUCUUUUAAUUUUAAGAUAUCACACCAAGAAAAAAAUUAUUUUAGCCAUUUAUUUAUUUUUCUCCUUUUUAACCCCUAAACUUGUAUUUUUUAAUCAAUUCAUCCCAAAAUGAAAUGAAAAGGUUAAUAUUUUUUAACUUUGCGAACGAUACAUACGCCAACAUUUAAUUAAUUUUUUUAAAAUUUAAAAAUUAUAAAAGUUAUUUUUAAAAUUUAAAAAUUAUUAAAAAUUUAUAAAUUUUUUAAUUUUAAAAAAUAAUUAAAUGUUGACAUGUCAUCUACAUGGUAAUCAAUGUGUAUGCCAUGUCAACAAAGUUGAUAAACGUCAAUUUUUUCCAUCCAUUUUGAGUGAUUUAACAAAAAUGCAAAUUCAAAAGUCGAAAGAGAUGCAAAAAUAAAUUAAAAGCUAAAAUGAUCUUUUGUAAAGUUGAAAGGCCACAGAAGUAAUUAUGCCUUCUUUGUUUAUUUAUAAAAUAAGAAAAAAAAUAAAACACCCUCAUAAUAAUAGACUUGUUCAUGGGUCGGGCACCUGACUUAACCCGAAGGCCCGUCCAAAAAGUGGAAGGAUUUGGGUAAAAAGAUACGCCCGAAAAAUUAGUUGGGUAAAAAAAUAAAGCCCGUUUAAAAAAACGAUCUAAGCCUUGAGUAAGGCAUUUUUUACCUAAGCCCGACCCAACCCGAAUUCACGAAAGGACAAAAAAAUCUACUUUAUUUCUAUUUUAAUGCUAUUUUCUUGUUACUCUCUCCCUAUUUUGUUAUUAUUUUAUUGUUACUGUUUGAAUAUUGUAUAACACUUGUUUUAUUAUUAAUUUUGUUAUUAUUUUAAAAGCAUUUGCUUAUUAAGUUCAUCUAUUGUAGUAAUUUAUUUUCAAUUUGUUGAGAAAUAUUUAUUUUAAUGUU